AUGUUCUUUCUUCAAAUUUGUUUGGUGAUUUUUUUUUUUAUAAUUGAGUCAUUUUGAUUUCGUAAUCAUAAAUGUUUUGUCUAGAAUCAUGUUUAGUCCAAAAAUUGUCAUAAACUCCAUUAGUUAAACUUUUUAAUUUUUUUUUUCUCAAUUUGCAUUUUCUGGCUACCUAAAUCAGUGAAACAGUGAGUUUCCGGUGGUGCGUUUUCAUCUGCGUUCUUCAUCUUGUUCUUCAUUCUCUGGCAUGGUUUUUAAAUCCUCGUCGGACCGAGAAUCGGGAGAAGUAUUAAUCAGAGCUAUUUCAUUUUUCUUCGUGAAGCAGCAUAAAUCCAUUCGGUGGAAUUGUUGGAAGUGGUGUUGUUCGUGACCUAAGCUGGAAGCGGUGAUGUGUGAAGUUGAAGCACUUGCUUUUGGUUGAAAGCUGCAGUUAAGGUGUUUUAUAAAAUGAUUCACUGAUAAAAAAAAUGGUUGCAGAAUUUUUUUAUAUAGGCAUGAUUUCUGGUGCAGUCUAUUUGGAGUCAAUUCGGCACUGGUUUGUAAUUUGGUGUAGCUGGUAGUACAUUGCUCUACUGCAGCAAAAUUUGGUGUUGAAAUGUGAAUUUGAUUAAAAAAUAAAAUUGGUUCUAGUUGAAGUAGUUCUCUC
rnacentral:lncRNA from 1 species